CAGAGCUGCUAUGUAGCUAGCUAGCUUUUUAUUUUCUGUAAUCCAUUUGACUAGAUUCAACCCUCUUGGGACCUCUAAUCCUGAACCAGAGUUGAUGUCGAAUAAACGUCAGGGUCCAGGGUUCGUGGGCCAAACCACUGCCCAAACAACCACGUCCAACAGGAGCAGUUCCCACCAGCAGUGUUGUGAAACCAAGUGCCAAUCCACCACCUGCAGCAAGGGGACAGCAGAUGUUUGA